AGGCACUCAAGAUAUGUGAAUAAGGCAGUUUUAUUGGAGAAUACAGAAAGCUGUGUUCUCCAAUAAAACUGCCUUAUUCACAAAGUUUGA